ACGAACGCUGGCGGCGUGCUUAACCCAUGCCAGUCGAACGGAAAGGCCCUGCUUUUGUGGGGUGCUCGAGUGGCGAACGGGUGAGUAACACGUGAGUAACCUGCCCUUGACUUUGGGAUAACUUCAGGAAACUGGGGCUAAUACCGGAUAUGAGCUCCUGCUGCAUGGUGGGGGUUGGAAAGUUUCGGCGGUUGGGGAUGGACUCGCGGCUUAUCAGCUUGUUGGUGGGGUAGUGGCUUACCAAGGCUUUGACGGGUAGCCGGCCUGAGAGGGUGACCGGCCACAUUGGGACUGAGAUACGGCCCAGACUCCUACGGGAGGCAGCAGUGGGGAAUAUUGCACAAUGGGCGGAAGCCUGAUGCAGCAACGCCGCGUGCGGGAUGACGGCCUUCGGGUUGUAAACCGCUUUCGCCUGUGACGAAGCGUGAGUGACGGUAAUGGGUAAAGAAGCACCGGCUAACUACGUG
rnacentral:rRNA from 1 species